GAGGAAAUCAACGAGUAAUGCAAUAGUCUUUCCUGGAGUCUCCUCCCAAGCUCACUACAUAAAAAGGAGUUAUUAAGGCGAUUUUAAUACGACGGUUAAACAAUGAUUCGAUACAUAAAAUGGCUGUUUUGAACCGCCACUGUGUUAUUAUAACUUUUCAUAUAUUUGUUUGAUUUAUCUUAAAAAGCAAGGAUAUCUCACUCUCACAAAUUAGAAAUCCCUCGUCACUCUCCAUACCCCGAAUAAACCCUACUUUAUACAAUCUCCAUCUCUCCCGCCCACAAAUCUCUCAUCGGCAGUGUAUCACAGAUCAUCGUCAACUCCCCCUUCUCUCUGUGCAUAUUCUCUUUCCCUCUUCUCGCGAAGGCCCUCGAUUGGCCAGUGAUAUGGUGGCAUUGAUUUGGAAAAAGAACAACGAAGCUUCUGGUCUCCGAUGAUGUCAAAUCCCAUCUCUAAACAAGAUAGUAUUCUUGAGGCUGGUAGAGAGAAAGUGCGAUGACAUGAUCUCUAUCCUGCAGAAAAUAAAAGCAAUCUUGUCCUAUUCAAGGUAUUCACCCAUGAUUGAUGAUGAUGAACAUAUAUUGGAGAAGGCCAUACAUAGGGCAAGUUUUAACUUCUUAGUAUUUUGGUUUUAACAUCGUAAUAUUUUGGAGAAGGCUUACUCUGUGAAUCUGAACUUACAAGUUCUUUCAUUUAACAAGACUACAAACACAAAAGCAUGGCGAAACCUGAGUUGUGAGCUAUAUAAUAUAUGAUAUCGGACAUUCAUAUUAGAAACUAUACCCAUGAUAUUUGUAAACUUGCUCUUUUCUGACUUUCUAGACAGUAUGUCACUUUUCCAAUUGAGCCAAAAAGAUCACCAUACAUGUGUUAAUUAGUAAUCAUUGUUAGGGUCAAAUAUCGUUUUAUUUUUUGGAUCUUUUGUUGAAUAAUUCUUUAAAACUUAAGAUAUUUGAUGAUGUAUUUUGGAGUA